UACGUAGGGUGCAAGCGUUGUCCGGAAUUAUUGGGCGUAAAGAGCUCGUAGGCGGUUUGUCGCGUCUGCUGUGAAAACCCGAGGCUCAACCUCGGGCCUGCAGUGGGUACGGGCAGACUAGAGUGCGGUAGGGGAGAAUGGAAUUCCUGGUGUAGCGGUGGAAUGCGCAGAUAUCAGGAGGAACACCGAUGGCGAAGGCAGUUCUCUGGGCCGUAACUGACGCUGAGGAGCGAAAGCGUGGGGAGCGAACAGG
rnacentral:rRNA from 1 species